rnacentral:rRNA from 1 species
UACGUAGGGUGCAAGCGUUGUCCGGAAUUAUUGGGCGUAAAGAGCUCGUAGGCGGUCUGUCGCGUCGGCUGUGAAAACCCGGAGCUCAACUCCGGGCCUGCAGUCGAUACGGGCAAACUGGAGUGUUGCAGGGGAGACUGGAAUUCCUGGUGUAGCGGUGAAAUGCGCAGAUAUCAGGAGGAACACCGGUGGCGAAGGCGGGUCUCUGGGCAACAACUGACGUGGAGGAGCGAAAGCGUGGGGAGCGAACAGGA